UUAAGCGACUAAGCGUACACGGUGGAUGCCCUGGCAGUCAGAGGCGAUGAAGGACGUGCUAAUCUGCGAAAAGCGUCGGUAAGGUGAUAUGAACCGUUAUAGCCGGCGAUGUCCGAAUGGGGAAACCCAGUGCAAUUCGUUGCACUAUCGUUAACUGAAUACAUAGGUUAACGAGGCGAACCGGGGGAACUGAAACAUCUAAGUACCCCGAGGAAAAGAAAUCAACCGAGAUUCCCCCAGUAGCGGCGAGCGAACGGGGAGCAGCCCAGAGUCUGAAUCAGCUUGUGUGUUAGUGGAACGGUCUGGAAAGUCCGACGGUACAGGGUGAUAGUCCCGUACACCAAAAUGCACAGGCUGUGAACUCGAAGAGUAGGGCGGGACACGUGGUAUCCUGUCUGAAUAUGGGGGGACCAUCCUCCAAGGCUAAAUACUCCUGACUGACCGAUAGUGAACCAGUACCGUGAGGGAAAGGCGAAAAGAACCCCGGCGAGGGGAGUGAAAAAGAACCUGAAACCGUGUACGUACAAGCAGUGGGAGCACCUUCGGGUGUGACUGCGUACCUUUUGUAUAAUGGGUCAGCGACUUAUAUUCUGUAGCAAGGUUAACCGUAUAGGGGAGCCGCAGGGAAACCGAGUCUUAACUGGGCGUUAAGUUGCAGGGUAUAGACCCGAAACCCGGUGAUCUAGCCAUGGGCAGGUUGAAGGUUGGGUAACACUAACUGGAGGACCGAACCGACUAAUGUUGAAAAAUUAGCGGAUGACUUGUGGCUGGGGGUGAAAGGCCAAUCAAACCGGGAGAUAGCUGGUUCUCCCCGAAAGCUAUUUAGGUAGCGCCUCGUGAACUCAUCUUCGGGGGUAGAGCACUGUUUCGGCUAGGGGGUCAUCCCGACUUACCAACCCGAUGCAAACUACGAAUACCGAAGAAUGUUAUCACGGGAGACACACGGCGGGUGCUAACGUCCGUCGUGAAGAGGGAAACAACCCAGACCGCCAGCUAAGGUCCCAAAGUCAUGGUUAAGUGGGAAACGAUGUGGGAAGGCACAGACAGCCAGGAUGUUGGCUUAGAAGCAGCCAUCAUUUAAAGAAAGCGUAAUAGCUCACUGGUCGAGUCGGCCUGCGCGGAAGAUGUAACGGGGCUAAACCAUGCACCGAAGCUGCGGCAGCGACACUAUGUGUUGUUGGGUAGGGGAGCGUUCUGUAAGCCUGCGAAGGUGUGCUGUGAGGCAUGCUGGAGGUAUCAGAAGUGCGAAUGCUGACAUAAGUAACGAUAAAGCGGGUGAAAAGCCCGCUCGCCGGAAGACCAAGGGUUCCUGUCCAACGUUAAUCGGGGCAGGGUGAGUCGACCCCUAAGGCGAGGCCGAAAGGCGUAGUCGAUGGGAAACAGGUUAAUAUUCCUGUACUUGGUGUUACUGCGAAGGGGGGACGGAGAAGGCUAUGUUAGCCGGGCGACGGUUGUCCCGGUUUAAGCAUGUAGGCUGGUUAUCCAGGCAAAUCCGGAUAAUCAAGGCUGAGGUGUGAUGACGAGGCACUACGGUGCUGAAGUAACAAAUGCCCUGCUUCCAGGAAAAGCCUCUAAGCAUCAGGUAACAUCAAAUCGUACCCCAAACCGACACAGGUGGUCAGGUAGAGAAUACCAAGGCGCUUGAGAGAACUCGGGUGAAGGAACUAGGCAAAAUGGUGCCGUAACUUCGGGAGAAGGCACGCUGGUGUGUAGGUGAAGCCCCUGCGGGUGGAGCUGAGACCAGUCGAAGAUACCAGCUGGCUGCAACUGUUUAUUAAAAACACAGCACUGUGCAAACACGAAAGUGGACGUAUACGGUGUGACGCCUGCCCGGUGCCGGAAGGUUAAUUGAUGGGGUUAUCCGUAAGGAGAAGCUCUUGAUCGAAGCCCCGGUAAACGGCGGCCGUAACUAUAACGGUCCUAAGGUAGCGAAAUUCCUUGUCGGGUAAGUUCCGACCUGCACGAAUGGCGUAAUGAUGGCCAGGCUGUCUCCACCCGAGACUCAGUGAAAUUGAACUCGCUGUGAAGAUGCAGUGUACCCGCGGCAAGACGGAAAGACCCCGUGAACCUUUACUAUAGCUUGACACUGAACAUUGAGCCUUGAUGUGUAGGAUAGGUGGGAGGCUUUGAAGCGUGGACGCCAGUCUGCGUGGAGCCAACCUUGAAAUACCACCCUUUAAUGUUUGAUGUUCUAACGUUGGCCCCUGACCGGGGUUGCGGACAGUGUCUGGUGGGUAGUUUGACUGGGGCGGUCUCCUCCCAAAGCGUAACGGAGGAGCACGAAGGUUAGCUAAUCCUGGUCGGACAUCAGGAGGUUAGUGCAAUGGCAUAAGCUAGCUUGACUGCGAGCGUGACGGCGCGAGCAGGUGCGAAAGCAGGUCAUAGUGAUCCGGUGGUUCUGAAUGGAAGGGCCAUCGCUCAACGGAUAAAAGGUACUCCGGGGAUAACAGGCUGAUACCGCCCAAGAGUUCAUAUCGACGGCGGUGUUUGGCACCUCGAUGUCGGCUCAUCACAUCCUGGGGCUGAAGUAGGUCCCAAGGGUAUGGCUGUUCGCCAUUUAAAGUGGUACGCGAGCUGGGUUUAGAACGUCGUGAGACAGUUCGGUCCCUAUCUGCCGUGGGCGCUGGAGAAUUGAGGGGGGCUGCUCCUAGUACGAGAGGACCGGAGUGGACGCAUCACUGGUGUUCGGGUUGUCAUGCCAAUGGCACUGCCCGGUAGCUAAAUGCGGAAGAGAUAAGUGCUGAAAGCAUCUAAGCACGAAACUUGCCCCGAGAUGAGUUCUCCCUGAGACUUUAAGUCUCCUGAAGGAACGUUAAAGACGAUGACGUUGAUAGGCCGGGUGUGUAAGCGCAGCGAUGCGUUGAGCUAACCGGUACUAAUGAACCGUGAGGCUUAACCUU
rnacentral:rRNA from 3 species